GACGAACCGAGCGAACGUUGUUCGGAAUCACUGGGCUUAAAGGGCGCGUAGGCGGGCUGUCAAGUCUGGGGUGAAAUCCCGCGGCUCAACCGUGGAACUGCCUUAGAUACUGACGGCCUCGAGGGAGAUAGGGGCGAGCGGAACUGUGAGUGGAGCGGUGAAAUGCGUUGAUAUUCACAGGAACUCCGGUGGCGAAGGCGGCUCGCUGGAUCUCUUCUGACGCUGAGGCGCGAAAGCUAGGGGAGCAAACGGG
rnacentral:rRNA from 2 species